rnacentral:rRNA from 1 species
GUGCCAGCAGCCGCGGUAAUACGGGAGGGGCAAGCGUUAUUCGGAAUAACUGGGCGUAAAGAGUCCGUAGACCGUGUUAAAAGUUAUUUGUUAAUUUUUAAAGCUUAACUUUAAGCUAGCAAAUAAUACUAUUACACUAGAGUUUCUGUCAGAAAAGUAGAAUUUUAUAUUCAGAGGUAAAACUUGCAGAUAUAUAAAGGAAUACCAUUAAAAGCGAAGGCGACUUUUUAGUAAAAACUGACGUUGAGGGACGAAAGUAUAGGUAGCAAACAGGAUUAGAUACCCUGGUAGUCUAUACCGUAAAUUCUGAGUGCUGUAAUUUAAUUAAUUUGUUUUAAUUAGAUUUUUUUAAGCUAACGCUAUAAGCACUCCGCCUGAGGAGUAUGAUCGCAAGGUUGGAACUCAAAGGAAUUGACGGGGGCCUACAACUAGUGGUGGAGCAUGUGGUUUAAUGCGAUAAUCCGCGCAAAACCUUACCAAUUUCUUGAAUAAAAUUUAAAAAGUUGAUCUGCUCUAAUUGCAGAUUUUAUUAAAUAAUUUUACAGGUGUUGCACGACUGUCGUCAGCUCGUGUCGUGAGAUGUUUGGUUAAUUCCUUUAACGAGCGCAACUCUUGUCUUUAAUAAAUUACAAAUUUUAAUUUAAAUUGUUUUAAAAGAUACUGCUAAUGAUAAAUUUGAGGAAGGUGAGAAUUAAGUCAAGUCAAUGUGGCCCUUAUAAAUUGGGCUACACACGUGCUACAAUGAAAAUUACAGAAAGUAACAAAAAUGUAAAUUUUAGUUAAUCUUUUAAAAAUUUUCUAAGUUCGAAUUGUAAUCUGCAACUCGGUUACAUGAAGGUGGAAUCACUAGUAAUCGCAAAUCAGCAUGUUGCGGUGAAUACGUUACUUGGCCUUGUACACACCGCCCGUCACACC